rnacentral:rRNA from 1 species
GGGGAUAACGUUUGGAAACGAACGCUAAUACCGCAUGAUAUUAUUGAGCUGCAUGGCUUGAUAAUCAAAGGAGCAAUCCGCUGAAAGAUGGGCUCGCGUCCGAUUAGGUAGUUGGCGGGGCAACGGCCCACCAAGCCGACGAUCGGUAGCCGGACUGAGAGGUUGAACGGCCACAUUGGGACUGAGACACGGCCCAGACUCCUACGGGAGGCAGCAGUGAGGGAUAUUGGUCAAUGGGGGAAACCCUGAACCAGCAACGCCGCGUGAGGGAAGACGGUUUUCGGAUUGUAAACCUCUGUCCUCUGUGAAGAUGAUGACGGUAGCAGAGGAGGAAGCUCCGGCUAACUACGUGCCAGCAGCCGCGGUAAUACGUAGGGAGCAAGCGUUGUCCGGAUUUACUGGGUGUAAAGGGUGCGUAGGCGGCUUUGCAAGUCAGAAGUGAAAUCCAUGGGCUUAACUCAUGAACUGCUUUUGAAACUGCAGAGCUUGAGUGGAGUAGAGGUAGGCGGAAUUCCCGGUGUAGCGGUGAAAUGCGUAGAGAUCGGGAGGAACACCAGUGGCGAAGGCGGCCUGCUGGGCUCUAACUGACGCUGAGGCACGAAAGCGUGGGUAGCAAACAGGAUUAGAUACCCUGGUAGUCCACGCUGUAAACGAUGAUUACUAGGUGUGGGUGGACUGACCCCAUCCGUGCCGGAG